UUCUGUUUACACGAUUUAUUUAGGGCACAAGCCCUUUAUCACAUUGUCUUACUUCUUACUGCCCUAAUGUGAUUAACUAAUGUUUGUCACAAAACUUCUUUGAGAUAGUAUAGUCAGUUUGAAAUUUAGGCCCAAAUGUGGCAAACUGAAAUGACAGUCUUUUGAAAGUCAGCCACUUUCUUUUUGCUCACUGCAAGUUGGAGUUUUGUUGAUGGAUCAUUUAGUUCAUUGGCCUUUUGCAUAUUGAACUUUUGUUGAUGAAUCUUAUAUGCCAUUAUCUUUUUGUAG
rnacentral:misc_RNA from 1 species